rnacentral:sRNA from 1 species
AGAUGGGCUCUGGUCGGGAGCCGGCCCAGGAGGAAGGCCAUGCGUCUCUGGGUCUCUUCUCGCCCAAGUGAGGCCUGUGUGCCUGCCUUCCGUGAUGCAGCCUCCGAGCUCCCAGCUCCUCCAGCAGCCGACAGGAGCCCCGUCAAGAUGCAGGCAGGCAUUGCCACCCCAGGGAUGAAGACAGCAGCCCAGGCAAAGGCCAAGACCACAGGAGCCUCCCGGUCUCAUCCUGCAAAAGCUAAAGGCUGCCAGAGGCCCCCCAAGAUCCGUAACUACAACAUUAUGGACUGACUUCCUCCCCCCACCCCGCCCCACUCGGGGUGCUCGGGGCCUACGCAUGGUGCCUGUGCUUUCACCUGCGUGUUGGGGGGGGGGGGUGUGGGCACAGCGUGCAGGGUGGAGGCAGGGAGCUGCAGGGCAGGCUCCCAAAUGCUGCUGAGGCGACCCUGCUGACUGAAGGCCUCCCUGAGCACAGGGCCCAUUAAAACCAGGUUCCUCCCUGGGGCGUCUGCUUG